AUCUUAGUGGUGUAUAAAACACACUUCAUUUUCGUUGAUGAGAAGAAAAAAUUUUUCCUAGGAUA
rnacentral:tRNA from 1 species